AUGCUUCUCCUAAAGACUAAGCCAUGCAUGUCUUAGAAUAGAAGAAGUUCUCUCUUUGAAUCUGCGAACGGCUCCGCAAACCAGUUGUAAACUGUAGCAAGCAUGCCCUUAGGGGCCGGUCGCAAGGCUGGUCCUUUUGGGUUACAAGGAUAACCCUGGUAAUUCUGAGGCUAAUACAAGAAAGUACCACCUGAUCGACCGGGCAACUGGGAGAUUGGGGGGUGUGUGAAUUGGUGCAAUGAUACCUGGGAAUAGCCGCACAUCUGGACCACCAUACCAAACAGUCUUGGUUCCAAUCGACCCUCUCGGGGGAAGAACGGUUCUUUGUCUGGGUGGCUCUUGCUCUGUGCUUCUGACCUAUCAACUAGAUGGCAGUGUAACGUACAUGCUAUGGUAACAACGGGUACAGAGGAUAAGGGUUUGAUCCUGGAGAGUGGGCCUGAGAGAUUGCUCACACUUCUAAGGAAGGCAGCAGGCGCGCAACGUUCCCAUUGGGCAAUGCCCGAGGGCGUUAGGGGAAAUAUGAAUGCCUGCCAUUGGUGGGCAAUUCAAAUGGGUUUUUUCUAAACCACAUUU
rnacentral:rRNA from 1 species